UACGUAGGGUGCGAGCGUUAAUCGGAAUUACUGGGCGUAAAGCGUGCGCAGGCGGUUUCGCAAGUCAGAUGUGAAAGCCCCGGGCUCAACCUGGGAACUGCAUUUGAAACUACGGAGCUAGAGUGUGUCAGAGGGGGGUAGAAUUCCACGUGUAGCAGUGAAAUGCGUAGAGAUGUGGAGGAAUACCAAUGGCGAAGGCAGCCCCCUGGGAUAACACUGACGCUCAUGCACGAAAGCGUGGGGAGCAAACAGG
rnacentral:rRNA from 1 species